rnacentral:rRNA from 1 species
CAGUCGCAGAUACCAGGCUGCUGCAACUGUUUAUUAAAAACACAGCACUCUGCAAACACGAAAGUGGACGUAUAGGGUGUGAUGUCUGCCCGGUGCUGGAAGGUUAAUUGAUGGGGUUAGCGUAAGCGAAGCUCUUGAUCGAAGCCCCAGUAAACGGCGGCCGUAACUAUAACGGUCCUAAGGUAGCGAAAUUCCUUGUCGGGUAAGUUCCGACCUGCACGAAUGACAUAAUGAUGGCAGCGCUGUCUCCAGCAGAGACUCAGUGAAAUCGAAAUCGCAGUGAAGAUGCUGUGUACCCGCGGCUAGACGGAAAGACCCCGUGAACCUUUACUACAGCUUUACAUUGAACUUUGACCUGACUUGUGCAGGAUAGGUGGGAGGCUUUGAAGCCGAGACGCUAGUCUCGGUGGAGCCAAUCUUGAAAUACCACCCUGGUCAUGUUGGGGUUCUAACUCAGGUAUAACAAUACCGAGGACAAUGUAUGGUGGGUAGUUUGACUGGGGCGGUCUCCUCCUAAAGAGUAACGGAGGAGUACGAAGGUGCGCUCAGACCGGUCGGAAAUCGGUCGUAGAGUAUAAAGGCAAAAGCGCGCUUAACUGCGAGACCCACAAGUCGAGCAGGUACGAAAGUAGGUCUUAGUGAUCCGGUGGUUCUGUAUGGAAGGGCCAUCGCUCAACGGAUAAAAGGUACUCUGGGGAUAACAGGCUGAUACCGCCCAAGAGUUCAUAUCGACGGCGGUGUUUGGCACCUCGAUGUCGGCUCAUCACAUCCUGGGGCUGAAGCCGGUCCCAAGGGUAUGGCUGUUCGCCAUUUAAAGAGGUACGCGAGCUGGGUUUAGAACGUCGUGAGACAGUUCGGUCCCUAUCUGCCGUGGGCGUUGGAAGAUUGAGAGGGGCUGCUCCUAGUACGAGAGGACCGGAGUGGACGCAUCACUGGUGUUCGGGUUGUCAUGCCAAUGGCAUUGCCCGGUAGCUAAAUGCGGAAAAGAUAAGCGCUGAAAGCAUCUAAGCGCGAAGCCAACUUCAAGAUAAGAUUUCCCACCGUAAGGGUAAGACCCCAGGAAGACUACCUGGUUGAUAGGUCGAAGGUGUAAGUGCAGUAAUGUAUUUAGCUUAUCGAUACUAAUAGGUCGAGG